rnacentral:lncRNA from 1 species
CAAAGUGCCUGUAAAUAAACCCUGAGUGGGCAACAUGAAUGGCCGCAGACCAGACAAAAUGAGAAUCCAGUUAAACAAGUGCAUGAAAUAUGCCCCUUAGUCCACUCAGCCUGCAACACAAAAGCACAGAACAGGCAGCUUCUAAACCACAGACAUUGACUUCCGUUCUGGAGGCCGGAAGUCCAAGAUGGAGGGUCCCGCAGAUUCCGUGUCUGGUCUUUUUCUACAGAAACAUUGGCAAAAUCAUCUUCAUUGUUCAUAGAUUGUUGCAGCAGAUCCAACUGAAGGAUACACCAACCAUUUUAAUCGGACACAAAAGAACAGGCUGUCCUCACCUGACCACCACCCACAACAACCGAACUUUAAUCAGACACAAAAGAACAGGCUGUCACCUGACCACCACCCACAACAACCGAAGGGCAGGGUGAGUCCAUUUAGAGUCUCGAGAAUUUCAGACGUGCAUUCACUUUAAAGAGUGCACCAGAAGUGUGAUUUGAAGAGGACAAAUGGUUUUCUAGCUCCAGAGUGGUUAAAAUAUAAUCUGGGUAAGUAAGGAGAAAUGGAAGUGCCUAACGAAUCCAACGUGUGAGAAAAGCUGGUGAAGACAAUUCAUGGGGGAUUUGAUGCUCUGUGUAAAACAGAGAAGGAAGAAAGCCAUUUAGUUGUGAAGGAGGCCCUUCGCAAAUACCAGCAAAGGCAGCCCAGGACAGGGACGCUGGCCAACCUCUGCUAGAAUCACGUUGCUGCUAGAUAAUGCAAUGCACAAAUAAAGUAACAGAUCCAAUAAUGCAAGCAGGGCUCAGGACCAUGACCCCAGGCUGAGGACUGAGGGUAAAGUGCCACUUGCCACAUGGGGCCUCCGGGGGAAGUCGGGAAGAAACCUGCACAAGGAUGAGACCGUCCCCCAGCAGGACUCCAGGACUCCAUCCCCAGGGCCAUGGCCACCCCAGGGCCAUGCAUGCCCAGAAACACCCUCCAUUCCCUGCAGGCAGGAACAGCAGGUGCAGCUCCUCUGCCUGCCAGCUUUGGGACCUCUAGGACUGACCGCUUCCUGUCUGGACACCAGUCCUGUAAUGCUCUCAUCCUUGCUGUCUGAGAGUCUUGCUGUGUCACCAGGCUGAUCUCGGCUCACCACAACCUCCGCCGCCCAAGUUCAAGUAAUUCUCCAGCCUCAGCCUCCCCAGUAGCUGGGACUACAGGCAUGUGCCACCAUGUCCAGCUAAUUUUUGUAUUUUUAGUAGAGACAGGGUUUCACCACGUUGGCCAGGAUGGUCUCGAUCUCUUGACCUUGUGAUCCACCUACCCCAGCCUCCCAAAGUGCUGGGAUUACAGGCGUGAGCCACCGUGCCUGGCCCUGGUUUCCUUUUUCUUAGCAAUCUUUUCUUCAAUAUACUUUUUCCAACUCUCACAUUUUACUAUGAGCAGCAAGAAGAAACCAGGCUCUUCCUUCAACAUUUUCCUUAGAGAUCUCCUCAGCUAAAUAUCCAAGUUUGUCCCCUACAGGUUAUACUUUCGACACAACAAGACACAAUUGCACCAACUUCUCUACCAUGUUGUGGCAAAGAUCAUCUCCUGCGUUUUCCAAUAGCAUGUUCCUAUUUCCGUCUGAGCCCUCCCCAGAAUCACCUUUAACAUCCAUAUGUCUACCAACUGUAUCUUCAGAACAAUUGAGUCUUCUUCUGACAUAAAUGUUAAAACUCUCUCUGCCUCUAACCGUUACCCAGUUCCAAAGCCACCCCGGCAUUGUCAGGUAUUGGUCACAGCACUUCCUUUCUCAGAACCAAAAUCUCUCUUAGCCUGCUCAGGCUUCCAGAGCACAGGAACACACACCAGGGGACUUAAAGCCAAAGAAACCCACUGUCGUAGAGUUGUGAGGUCUAGAAGUCCAAAAUCAGAGUGUUGUCAGGGCCAACCUACACCUCGUGCUGUAAAGGGGGCCCUCCCUUGCCUCUUCCUCCUCCUGGUCACCCCAGGCAUUACUCACCCUGUUGACGGGUCCUAAUCUCUGCCUCUGACUUCACGUGGAUUCUUCCUGUGUGUGCAUCUGUCUCCAAAUGUCCCCAUUUCAUAAGGGCACUUCUUUAGGCAUUUCAUUAAGGCUCACCCUAGUGAUUUCACUUUGAAUUGUUUGCUUAAGAUCACAUUUUGAGGUAGUGGGGGUUAGGCUUUCUACAUAUCUGUUUUAGAUAAAAAUUCCAAAUUCAGACAAAAUUCAACCUAUGACAAAGUCAUGCUAUUGCUAUUACAUACUCGACCUAUAACGAAGUUACACUAUUAACUCACUACUACAUACUCAGUAUAACAAACUCACUCUAAUACUCACUACUACAUACUCAGUAUAACAAAGUCAUGGUAAUACUCACUACUACAUACUUGGUAUAACAAAGUCACGCUAAUACUAACUACUACAUACUCGGUACAAAGUCAUGCUAAUACUCACUACUACAUACUUGACCUAUGACAAAGUCACACUAUUACCACUGCCCAACCAACCUAUAACGCAGUCACACUAUUACUCACUGCUACACACUCGACCUAUAAGAAAGUCAUGGUAUUACCGCUGCAUAUCCGACCUACGACAAAGUCACCCUAUUACUCACUGCUGCAUACUCAAUCCCAGAUUUACAAUCGGAAGCCUCUGCUGGUGAAAAUAUGGAAGUCAAUACUGAAUGUCCCUUUCUUUGCCAUAAAACUGCCAUCACACAGAAGAGAGAACUUACCAAGCAAUACCAACACAUUCAUUCUCCAAUAAAAUUAUUAAUUUCUU